rnacentral:rRNA from 1 species
GAUGAACGCUGACAGAAUGCUUAACACAUGCAAGUCAACUUGAACUUCGGUUUGGGUGGCGGACGGGUGAGUAACGCGUAAAGAACUUGCCUCACAGAUAGGGACAACAUUUGGAAACGAAUGCUAAUACCUGAUAUUAUGAUUUUAGGGCAUCCUAGAAUUAUGAAAGCUAUAUGCGCUGUGAGAGAGCUUUGCGUCCCAUUAGCUAGUUGGAGAGGUAACGGCUCACCAAGGCGAUGAUGGGUAGCCGGCCUGAGAGGGUGAUCGGCCACAAGGGGACUGAGACACGGCCCUUACUCCUACGGGAGGCAGCAGUGGGGAAUAUUGGACAAUGGACCAAGAGUCUGAUCCAGCAAUUCUGUGUGCACGAUGAAGUUUUUCGGAAUGUAAAGUGCUUUCAGUUGGGAAGAAAAAAAUGACGGUACCAACAGAAGAAGUGACGGCUAAAUACGUGCCAGCAGCCGCGGUAAUACGUAUGUCACAAGCGUUAUCCGGAUUUAUUGGGCGUAAAGCGCGUCUAGGUGGUUAUGUAAGUCUGAUGUGAAAAUGCAGGGCUCAACUCUGUAUUGCGUUGGAAACUGUGUAACUAGAGUACUGGAGAGGUAAGCGGAACUACAAGUGUAGAGGUGAAAUUCGUAGAUAUUUGUAGGAUUGCCGAUGGGGAAGCCAGCUUACUGGACACAUACUGACAUUAAGCGCGAAAGCGUGGGUAGCAAAU